rnacentral:rRNA from 1 species
UACAGAGGGCGCAAGCGUUGUUCGGAAUCAUUGGGCGUAAAGGGUGCGUAGGCGGCGCGGUAAGUCGGGGGUGAAAUCUUGGAGCUUAACUCCGAAACUGCAUUCGAUACUGCCGUGCUUGAGGACUGGAGAGGAGACUGGAAUUGACGGUGUAGCGGUGAAAUGCGUUGAGAUCGUGAGGAACGCCCGCGGCGAAAGCGAGCGCCUGGACCCUUUCUGACGCUGAGACGCGAAAGCCAGGGGAGCGAACGGG